rnacentral:rRNA from 1 species
UUGACUGGGGCGGUCGCCUCCUAAAAGGUAACGGAGGCGCUCAAAGGUUCCCUCAGAAUGGUUGGAAAUCAUUCAUAGAGUGUAAAGGCAUAAGGGAGCUUGACUGCGAGACCUACAAGUCGAGCAGGGUCGAAAGACGGACUUAGUGAUCCGGUGGUUCCGCAUGGAAGGGCCAUCGCUCAACGGAUAAAAGCUACCCCGGGGAUAACAGGCUUAUCUCCCCCAAGAGUUCACAUCGACGGGGAGGUUUGGCACCUCGAUGUCGGCUCAUCGCAUCCUGGGGCUGUAGUCGGUCCCAAGGGUUGGGCUGUUCGCCCAUUAAAGCGGUACGCGAGCUGGGUUCAGAACGUCGUGAGACAGUUCGGUCCCUAUCCGUCGUGGGCGUAGGAAAUUUGAGAGGAGCUGUCCUUAGUACGAGAGGACCGGGAUGGACAUACCUCUGGUGUACCAGUUGUCGUGCCAACGGCAUAGCUGGGUAGCUAUGUGUGGA